UGGGGAAUUUUGGACAAUGGGCGAAAGCCUGAUCCAGCAAUGCCGCGUGUGUGAAGAAGGCCUUCGGGUUGUAAAGCACUUUUGUCCGGAAAGAAAUCCUUGGCUCUAAUACAGUCGGGGGAUGACGGUACCGGAAGAAUAAGCACCGGCUAACUACGUGCCAGCAGCCGCGGUAAUACGUAGGGUGCAAGCGUUAAUCGGAAUUACUGGGCGUAAAGCGUGCGCAGGCGGUUUGCUAAGACCGAUGUGAAAUCCCCGGGCUCAACCUGGGAACUGCAUUGGUGACUGGCAGGCUAGAGUAUGGCAGAGGGGGGUAGAAUUCCACGUGUAGCAGUGAAAUGCGUAGAGAUGUGGAGGAAUACCGAUGGCGAAGGCAGCCCCCUGGGCCAAUACUGACGCUCAUGCACGAAAGCGUGGGGAGCAAACAGGAUUAGAUACCCUGGUAGUCCACGCCCUAAACGAUGUCAACUAGUUGUUGGGGAUUCAUUUCCUAGUAACGUAGCUAACGCGUGAAGUUGACCGCCUGGGGAGUACGUCGCAAGAUUAAAACUCAAAGGAAUUGAC
rnacentral:rRNA from 1 species